rfam:Arabidopsis lyrata subsp. lyrata unplaced genomic scaffold ARALYscaffold_2, whole genome shotgun sequence.
AUCAUUCGAGUGAGCACAAAGAGUAGCAUAAGCUCUCCUUUGACAUCUUCACCAACCUCUCAUCGUUCCCUUCUCUGUAAUAACGUCGUUUUGCAAAACUGCAAUGGUCCUGAGCCGAUAAGCCUCUAAUGAAAUUAUAGACUCAUCGGCUCAGGACCAUUGCGGUUGUGCAAAACGGUGUUAUUGCCGAGAAGGGAACGCAUGAGAGGUUGGUGAAAACGUCAAAGGGCUCUUAUGCUACUCUUUUUUUUUCUCAUAUGAGUGAGU